CGCUGCUAAAGGACAGCCAGUGUUAAGAACUGGCUUAAGAUGAGGUCAGAGUUUAGAGGCGAAUCAACUUAAAGAAAACAUUGAAUAAGAAAAUGUUUAGGCACCAGUCUGGAGGCUUGGAGUACAUCCAGGAGCACCAUGUGAGUUCCCUGUUCUCAGGGCUUACGUUCUGGAAGUGCACCGUGGACCUCUGCCAGCUGUUAAAAUUAGAUGUGCAUAGCCCAAUCCAAGGAUGAACUUGAGUUGGCAUGACCUGAAGCGCAGACAUUUCAGGAAUCCUCUCACCAAAGGCAAGGAAAGACCCUAAACGAUGUAUUUGGAAAUCUGUGUGCUGUUUACAUCUCGCAACAUGGAGGAGAUUCUGAAACUCCCACCAAGUCUACUAUAUGCACGUAGACCCCAGACCAGUUAGAACCAAAAGGUUGAUGAUGUUGACUCCCAGUUACCUCACCACCAACCAAUCAGAAGAAUGUCCACAAGCCAAUCACUCACCCCUCAACCCUCUCCUCAGUGAGUAGUCCUUUUCCUCUUUUCCCUAUACAGUAA